GAACCAAUCGUCGUACUUGGGCACGCCUCACGGAUAUCCACCGCCAAUGGCGGUGGCCGAGUGGAUAAGAGACAUAAAGAUAAGCUCUCUCGGUGGGAGGGCGUAUGAAGGAGCACAUCAGAGAGUCUCUCGUGUGCCCCUCUCCACGCGCGGCUGUACCCACCCGAGAGAGAGUGGAAGCCCUUCUCUCACACGCAAAAGGGGACAUCUCAUCACGACUCUUGGUAGCAGGCACUUCUCCGUAGUGGGCACUCCACUCAUCGUGUCGUCGUACGGGUUCUCCGCGAGAGCCUGUGGAGCCUCCGCUCUCGGGUCGGGUGAGCGUGCGAGCGAGCGAGUGAGCAAGCAAGCGACCGACCGACCGAACGAACGACCGACCGAGUGAGUGAGCGAGCAAGCAAGCAAGCAGCAGCAGCAGCAGCAAGCGACCGAGCGACCGAGCUCGAACGGCCGAGCGCGCCGGUCGAGUGGGUCUAAGCGGCCGUGAGGACCUCUCCAGGAGUACCCGACAGUCCUCUCCAUUCAUUCAUUCAUCCAUCCACCCAUCCAUCCAUCCAUCCAUUUAUCCAUCCAUCCAUCCAUCCAUCCAACCAUCUAUUUGAGGAAGCAAGCAAGUAAACAACUGAGCGCGCGAACGAACCAGCCAUCUAGUCAACCAGCUAGCCAACCAUCUCGCUAACGAGGGCCAACGAACAAAGUGUCAAGGCAAGACGAGGCGAAAGCCGGCUCAAGCCGGGCUAAGAAGCCGAGUCGAGCCACACCAGCGAAAGUCUUUCAAUCCAUCCAUCCAUCCAUCUAAUCAGCCAGCCAUUCUUCAGUCAUCUAUCCAUCCAUAGAUUCGCUCCUUUCCUAACGAGAAGGAAGGUGGAGGUAAAGAGCAGAGUGGUGUACAUCUACGGAGGGUCGAAGGACUCGAAGAGGACCGCGAGUGAUUUCAGUCGGUCGGCGGCCGGCCUCGCCGGCCACUCUGCUCCCUCCUCGGCCGCCGACCGUCGCGUUCCAUCGCGUUACGUCGCGAGUGAGUGUUGAGUGCUCGAGUUAUCGUUACACUUUGCCAUCCGUCGUUUGGAAAUACGAUAACGACGACGACGACGANAACGACAACAACGACGACAUGGCGACGGUGAGAAGAAACGAUCGUUUGACGAUCGGUCCGCGGGCUAACAUUUUAUUAUCACCUUGGUCGUCUAUGUCGUCGUUAAGGUGAACAUCGUGUCAAGGUGAACGCCAUCGUGAAUGCAUAAAAGAAAAAAAUGUGCCAAGUGUCGAGUCGAAGAGUCAGUGAGUGACACCAUAAACGUGUUUUUACGUCCGCGAAAAUUUUCGGCCACGAGGAUUACCGCGAGGAUUACCGCGAGGAUUACCGCGAGGAUUACCGCGAGGAUUACCGCCUCCGAGGUGAGCCGCUGCCCGCUGGCGAGCGUGGCGGCAGCUACGGUACCGUCGCGAUAGAUCGCUAUCCAUCCUCCGCUUCCUCCUCCUCCGCUUCCUCUUCCUCCUAUUACUACUCCUCAUGUCGCGCCGUUUUCGCGACUAGCACCGGCCUCACGAUUCCGCGAAGCACGAGCUUCAAGUAUUUCGACGGCGUUGGGCUCGCCGAGAUGAGCGGUGGCAGCGGCGGCGGCGGUGGAGCUAGCGGUGCCAGCGGAAACGGCGCCGGUAAUCAGGCGAGCGGAAAUGCAACUACCUAUCAUCAACAUCAACAACAGCAACAACAACAACAACAACAACAGCAACAACAGCAACAGCAGCAACAACAACAACAACAGCAACAACAGCAACAACAAACGCAGCUAGAGCAGGCGAGCCUCCUGCCGGAUUUAAACAGCAUCGAUUUAGCUAUAAGCCUUUCCCCAAAGCAACACUCGUCGCACGUGCAAGCCGGGGGCGGCGCUCACACGACACCGUUCAGCGUGACCGACAUCCUCUCGCCGAUGGAGGAGUCCUAUAGAAAGUUCGAUCUCGUAGCAGCAGCCGCGGCAGUUGGAGUCGGCGUCGGCGUUGGAGUAGGCGUCGUUAGCCACCCCCAGGGCUCACCGUACGGUAACGCCUGCGGCGCGAGGGUCGCCGGUAACACCGGAAGUUCAAGCGCGAGCAGCGGGAGUCCGCCGCUUCACGGCGGCUCGACGCCCGGUGGUAGCACGCCCGGUCCUGUUACCGGGAGCGCCGGGAACGGUAGCGCCGGUACCGCCGGCACCGCCGGAACUGCCGCCGGUGCCGGAGCCGGAGGUGCGGUUGGUGGAAGUGCUGUUGGUACAGCGGGUAUGACCGCCAUGGGUAAUCCUUACGCCACGAUGCAGCUCACCUCGCAAUAUCAGUAUUGUACUGCCGAACUUUCUCCGUACCAUCAUGCCGGACCCACCGUAGCCGGUACUGCCACCGUUGCCGAUCCUAUAAGAUCUCAUGCCGUUUCGACUCAUCAUCAUCCUUGGUACGCCCCAGCACCGCCGGCCACCAACGAUCCCCGUUUUGCCAUCUCGCGGCUAAUGGGCGCUGCGGCGGCGGGCGCCGGGGCCAAUGUGGCCGGGUGCUCGGUGGGCCAGUCGAUGGGCGACGUUACCAAAUCCUCUGGCAUGGGCGUUGGCGUUGGGGUCGGAAUGAACGUUGGUAUGGGCGUCGGUACGAUGCAAUUUCCCCUUGCCCAGAGACGGAAGCGUCGAGUUCUCUUCACCCAGGCCCAGGUCUACGAGCUCGAAAGGCGCUUCAAGCAGCAAAAGUACCUAAGCGCGCCCGAAAGGGAGCAUCUUGCUUCCCUCAUUCAUCUCUCGCCAACGCAGGUUAAAAUCUGGUUUCAAAAUCAUCGGUACAAAUGUAAGAGACAAGCCAAAGAAAAGGCGAUGGCCGAACAGAAUCAGAAUCAGGUACUCGGUGGUUGUUGGCUCGGUUCGGCUUCUGUUUGGCAUGCCAGCAGCGGUAAGCGUUAAACGCGUAGAGGCAGCCGGCGGUCGACGGUAGCAAGAAGCAUCCGAGGUAGUAGCAGCAGCAGCAGCAACAGCGACAGCAGCAGCAGCAGUAACAGCAGCAGCAACGUAGUGUUUGUUCGCACGAGAGUGCGAGCUCGCCACGGCGGGUAGCGGUACCGGUACUGGUGAAGGACGGGAAGCCCUGCGGGAGCGGUGGCGGGGGCGGCAACGAGGG
rnacentral:misc_RNA from 1 species